UAGUCCACGCCGUAAACGAUGGAUACUAGCUGUUGGGCCUUAGGGUUCAGUGGCCAAGCGAAAGUGAUAAGUAUCCCACCUGGGGAGUACGUUCGCAAGGAUGAAACUCAAAGGAAUUGACGGGGGCCCGCACAAGCGGUGGAGCAUGUGGUUUAAUUCGAUGAUACGCGAGGAACCUUACCAGAACUUAAAUGCAGGUUGCAUUAGUAAGCGAUUGCUAUUCCCUUCGGGGCUAUUUGCAAGGUGCUGCAUGGUUGUCGUCAGCUCGUGCCGUGAGGUGUCAGGUUAAGUCCUAUAACGAGCGCAACCCCUAUCGUUAGUUGCUAGCAGGUAAAGCUGAGGACUCUAAUGAGACUGCCGGUGCAAACCGUGAGGAAGGUGGGGAUGAUGUCAAAUCAUCACGGCCCUUAUGUUCUGGGCUACACACGUGCUACAAUGGCAUGCACAACAGGCAGCUACCGGGCGACCGGAUGCUAAUCCCAAAAUCAUGUCACGU
rnacentral:rRNA from 1 species